GUCCCUCUGAUAAGGCUUAAAAUUUCAUUGUUGAAUGACCUACUGAUUUUUAAGUGGCUAGUUCUUCAUUCCUGUUAGAUAGAAAAAUCUCAUUCUCACAAAUACCAUGAUUCAAUAAUCAACUAUUCCGGCUGGCUACUUAUUGUUAAAUUAAUGGUAUUUUCUUCAGCUACUGAUCCUUGAUGUAUGUUUUGGCAGGAAUACUUCCGGUACGUGUACUUGCGGUUUGAUAGUGUCGAAGCUGCACCUCGUGCUCAACAAGCUAUGCACAAGAGAUGGUUUGCUGGCAGAUCUAUUUCAGCCAUAUUCUUGCAACCGUAUGAAUAUGAUGCCAAAUUCAAAGGUACCGGCUAAGAGGUUUCAGACGGGGGGUGAUCUAGAAUGUCUGUAGACUGCUUAUUUGUUUAUUGUAAUUGCAAACCUGCAGAUGAUUUGGUAUUUAAGUUCGUAUCCUAUUGAAUAUCAAAGACUCGUUAAAGACACAUGAGGUUAUAGGUGUUACUGAGGAAGGUCUGUAAUUUGACAGAGUAUUCUCAUUUUAAUCAAUCAAGACACUUAGGGCUCAAA